rnacentral:rRNA from 1 species
UACGGAGGCAGCAGUGGGGAAUAUUGGACAAUGGGCGAAAGCCUGAUCCAGCAACGCCGCGUGAGGGAUGACGGCCUUCGGGUUGUAAACCUCUUUCAGCGGGGACGAAGCGAAAGUGACGGUACCCGCAGAAGAAGGACCGGCCAACUACGUGCCAGCAGCCGCGGUAAU